UUGCACCCAGUAUUUUUUUAGUGCCCCGCUUCAUCUCCAGUACUGACUUCUCAAGUACAGCUCUUAGUCAUUACUUUAGUAGUUGCCUUUGGAGAUUGAUGUCAGAUGUUACCUUUCCUUUUUGUGCCAUUGUUUCCUCUGGGGACCCAUCACAAAGGAAAGAAAACCGUGUGACUACAAACUUGGCCCAGUACUUCUCAACAUGCAUUGUCAUCACAUUUAUUAACCUGAACACCUGCAAUCCUUGAACAACAUUUCUUUAGAUGGUAUGAUCAAAGUAAAACCAGCAUUGUAUGAACAAAAUUCUGGAGGCUGUGCAGUCCAAUAUCAAAAUACCAGCGUCUGGCGAGGGCCUUCUUGUCACUAAUCCCAGCCAUAAAAGUGGAAUCUUCAUGACCUAAUCAUCUUUUAAAAGUCUUGUCUCUUGUGUUAACUAUUGUUAGUCUCUUAUUAUUUUGUUG